UAUUAUUAUCAUUAUUAUUAUUAUUAUUAUUAUUAUCCACACUUGCCUCAAGCAGACAAGAGUUCUUUCCCUCACUCUGGACCUUCCACAGAUAUUUAAACCCCACUUGCCUAGUUCCCAACAGACCUCACAACUUUUGAGGAUGCCUGCCACAGAUGUGGGCAAAACGUCAGGAGAUAAUGCUUCUGGAAAAUUGCCAUACAGCCCUAAAGACUCAGAGCAACUCAGAAAUAUUCACAUUUGCCUCAAGCAGACAAGAGUUCUUUCUCCCACCCUGGACCUUCCACAGAUAUAUAAACCUCCCUUGCCUUCUUUCCAAUACACCUCCCAACCUCUGAGGAUGCCUGCCACAGAUGUGGGCAAAACGUCAGGAGAGAAUGCUUCUGAAACGUGGCCAUACAGCCCGGAAAACUCACAAAAACCCACUGUGACAGUCCUCAUUGGCCAUUCCGGCCUACUUUCCCGCUCUUAAGUGGAGAAGCCUGCCAAAGAGUAGAGCGUCGUCAGAAGUAGGACGCCUUUCUUCACCUUCCACUGGGACUUCAAAUCCCAGAGGCCUUUGCCAGUGUGGCCAAUUUGCAGGGAUUCUGGGAGCUGAAGUCCAAAAGGAGGAGCCAAACCCUAGAAGGACGGCGCUGCCUUGUCCACUGCGAUAUAAAAUGACACGUUGUCUUUCCUGUAGUAAUCCUCGAGGAGGAUUGGGCGGAGCAAUGGGUUAAACCCUUGUGCCAGCAGAACUGCUGAUCUGAAGAUCUAAAGGUCAGCAAUUUGAAUCCACAAGACAGGUUGAGCUCCAUUCUGCCAGCCCCAGCUUCCUUGAGGGCACAUGAGAGAAGCCUCCCACAGGAUGGUAACACAUCCAGGCAUCUCCUGGCAACGUCUCUGUAGACGGCUGAUUCCCUCACAUCAAAAGCGAUUUGCAGUACUGUAUAUUUUCAACUCACUUGACACGAUAAAAAAAACAGUAAUCCUCUAUGUUCUGAAUUCUCACAUGGGUGAGUGUACACAGGACUCCUAGUUAAGAAUGGGGCUGAGACAACAGGAAGUGAAAGAAAUCUUCCAAUUGGAAGGGAAAUUUACUCCUGAAAGAGUUAUUACCAUGGGGAAGAGAUGUCUCCACUGAAGCUUUAUCACAAAUCCUUGUUUCCACAACAAGCCACAUUUUUGAAAAUCAAAUUAUCACAGAGAUACAAAGUGAGGUGGAAUCUUAUGAAAAGCAAAACAAAUACCACAGGGAUGUUAACCCUUCCCUAUGCUAUCCAUAGCUAAAAGAUAUGUAUGUAUGUAUGGCUGGAAUUACACUUCAAAAAUGUACCUGUUCCAACUGGUAUACAAAUUCAAUUUAAGAACAAAUCUACAGAACCUAUCUUGUUCGUAACUUAGGGACUGGCUGUAUUCUCUGCUCAUACUGGUUUUUUCCCCUUUCAAUUAAAAAUGAGAAACCUUGUAAUUGUAGAAGUCCGAAAUCUAAAAAGGGGGAAAGUAUAGCAACAGCUAAGUGUUGAUAUCUCAAAAUUGUGCAAUUCCCGAAGAAUAAAUUAUUUUUUAAAAAAAUUACCGUACAAGAAUCACGCAAGAGGAUUACUGCCAGGAAAAGGAGCAUUGAGGCUCCCCACGGGAACACCCUCUCUGCAAUAUCACUAAAGUGAUCUAAGACUGGAGAAGCUGACAUUCCAUCCCACGUUACAUUAAACACCUUCAACUGUUUCCUUAAGAAUUGGGAGCUCUGAAGAUUUUUGCUCCCCAACUUCAUAAUCCUCAUUUUCUACACACUUUUGAAACAGUUUACAUACAGAAGUAGCCUUACGUCAUAUGAUGGCCUCCGUGGGACUCCGUCUGUAAAAGUGUGUAGAAAUGAGAGCUGGAUGGCUAUCUGUCGGAGAUGCUUUGAUUGUGUGUGCCUCCAUGGUAGAAUAGGGUUGGACCUUUUAGUCUCUUCCAACUCUGUGAUUCUAUGUUUUCAGCGUCAAGUCAUACCCCACCCAUCCCUUCUGUUCAACACCUUUCCUGGGAAAAUUUUGAGGUCAAACUAAAAACAUUUUUGUGCUCUUUCA